UGCAACUCGACUCCAUGAAGCUGGAUUCGCUAGUAAUCGCGCAUCAGCCAUGGCGCGGUGAAUACGUUCCCGGGCCUUGUACACACCGCCCGUCAAGCCAUGGAAGCCGGGAGUGCCUGAAGUGUGCAACCGCAAGGAGCGCCCUAAGGUAAAACUGGUGACUGGGGCUAAGUCGUAACAAGGUAAC
rnacentral:rRNA from 1 species